rnacentral:rRNA from 1 species
CCCGCUGAACUUAAGCAUAUUAAUAAGGGGAGGAAAAGAAACUAACUAGGAUUCCCUCAGUAAUGGCGAAUGAAGUGGGAAUAGCUCAGGUUUAAAAUCUGGUAGCGUCAGCUAUCCGAAUUGUAGUCUUGUGGACGGUCAUCAGGGAGCGCACUGGCAUAAGUCUGUUGGAAUACAGCGCCACAGAGGGUGAGAGCCCCGUACAUGGCCAGCUGUCGCGCCCUUCCAUGUUGGCCGUUCGUCGAGUCGGGUUGUUUGGGAAUGCAGCCUAAAAUUGGGUGGUAAAUUCCAUCUAAAGCUAAAUACAGGCAUGAGACCGAUAGCGAACAAGUAGAGUGAUCGAAAGAUGAAAAGAACUUUGAAAAGAGAGUUAAAAGUACGUGAAAUCGUUAAAAGGGAAGGAAUUGGGAGCAGUACGGACGCGCUCACGAAUCACUGUCCGUGGGUGCAUAAGGUUCAUCCGGGAGGCUUGGUUUACACCGGGUCACCGGGUGGGCAUGUAGUGCCCGCCGGGCAGGUAUUUUAGGGGCGUGUUGGUCAGCAUCGGUCGGCUUACGUCGGUGGCAGAAAAGCUGGGGGAUGGAAGGUUGCCUGCGGGUGAUCGAACACCCUGGUCGAUACCACCUGGCCGACCGAGGAAACAUCGAAGGGGGUGCCUCUAGGCAGGGCUCUGGCGUUCGCAGCGGGCGGUCGCGUGUAGUACUAGUGCAGUGCUGCGCGCGGCCGUUUGUUCACGGGCGUCAUCCGCUUACCUCCUCUAGAUGCUGACAAAAUGCUUUCAACUCACCCGUCUUGAAACACGG